rnacentral:lncRNA from 1 species
UCACCAGUUUUGGCUUGCCUCAAAAUAUCUCCCUGCAAUUUGCAAAUGAGAACUCCCAACUCAGCUGCCCACACAUCAAGGCUGAGCUGAUGCUUUGAGGGUGUAAUGUCACCAGUCUGUCUCUUCAAGAAAAUACAAGGCCAGAGUAAUGCUUCAUGGAAUCAGAGGGGAGCUGGAAUGUGUCUAGAGGUCCUCAGGAAUCAGGGGAACCCCUAAGACUGCCAGAAUGGGAGUCAUCCUAUUCAUUCUCAAGUUGCACAUCAGUGUGUAAACUCUUGAAGAUCCGUGGUAACUAAAAAUACUAAGAAAUACUGGUAAGAAAAUUUUAAAUGAACA